UACAUACCUGCCUAGACCUUAAUUCGGGGG
rnacentral:piRNA from 1 species